UACGAAGGGGGCUAGCGUUGCUCGGAAUCACUGGGCGUAAAGGGUGCGUAGGCGGGUCUUUAAGUCAGGGGUGAAAUCCUGGAGCUCAACUCCAGAACUGCCUUUGAUACUGAGGAUCUUGAGUUCGGGAGAGGUGAGUGGAACUGCGAGUGUAGAGGUGAAAUUCGUAGAUAUUCGUAAGAACACCAGUGGCGAAGGCGGCUCACUGGCCCGAUACUGACGCUGAGGCACGAAAGCGUGGGGAGCAAACAGG
rnacentral:rRNA from 1 species